AGCAGCCGCGGUAAUUCCAGCUCCAAUAGCGUAUAUUAAAGUUGUUGUGGUUAAAAAGCUCGUAGUUGAACCUUGGGCCUGGCUGGCCGGUCCGCCUCACCGCGUGUACUGGUCCGGCCGGGCCUUUCCCUCUGUGGAACCCCAUGCCCUUCACUGGGUGUGGCGGGGAAACAGGACUUUUACUUUGAAAAAAUUAGAGUGCUCCAGGCAGGCCUAUGCUCGAAUACAUUAGCAUGGAAUAAUAGAAUAGGACGUGUGGUUCUAUUUUGUUGGUUUCUAGGACCGCCGUAAUGAUUAAUAGGGACAGUCGGGGGCAUCAGUAUUCAAUUGUCAGAGGUGAAAUUCUUGGAUUUAUUGAAGACUAACUACUGCGAAAGCAUUUGCCAAGGAUGUUUUCAUUAAUCAGGAACGAAAGUUAGGGGAUCGAAGACGAUCAGAUACCGUCGUAGUCUUAACCAUAAACUAUGCCGAC
rnacentral:rRNA from 1 species